AUCCAGACGGUGAGUCCUUAAUAGGACGAAAUGCGCAUCCUGGAU
rfam:Trichobilharzia regenti genome assembly, scaffold: TRE_scaffold0035239